AUUGAACGCUGGCGGCAGGCCUAACACAUGCAAGUCGAACGAGUGGCGGACGGGUGAGUAAUGUAUCGGAACCUGACCGGUGGAGGGGGAUAACUACUGGGAACGGUAGCUCAUACCGCAUACCAUCGGCUAGGCCGCUAUGGGAUUAGCUUGUUGGUGGGGUAACGGCUCACCAAGGCGACGAUCCCUAGCUGGUCUGAGAGGAUGACCAGACACACUGGAACUGAGACACGGUCCAGACUCCUACGGGAGGCAGCAGUGGGGAAUAUUGCACAAUUGGCGCAAGCCUGAUGCAGCCAUGCCGCGUGUAUGAAGAAGGUCUUCGGGUUGUAAAGUACUUUCAGUGGGGAGGCGUUACCGACAGAAGAAGCACCGGCUAACUCCGUGCCAGCAGCCGCGGUAAUAC
rnacentral:rRNA from 1 species